GUCUGCUUGUCUAGCAAUCCAUAUCAACCAACCAGCAGGUAGCGUUUAUUGGUCAGCUCUUCAAAAACAAACAUCUCAUUGGUUGCUGUGGGUUACAAGAGGUGGGCAAAUUUUUAAAGACUUUUUAUUACAUAUACCUUAUAUGUUAUUUUGGUUAAUUAGCUAAUUUUGUUUAUUUCAUACACGAGUAAUAAAGCCUCCUGGGAGUGGUGCACCUAAUCUGUGCCCACACCAAAGGGGCAGCUACAGAGUGAAGAAAGGACCCUUGCAGUGGGGUCAUGCAUCCCUGCUGAGGGGUAGGGAAGAAGCAUAAGCCAGUGAUAACUACUCAGCGCCCCUCAAGCUAUUAUUAAACUACAGCUAUCAGCAUGUCAGCUGAAUAGAUCUAAUAGUUUAUCAGAAUUCUUUGUGCUUUUAUAAAUUGUUUCAUCCUCAAAGGACCCCUAAGAUGCUGAGGCUCCAUGUCCAAUGUCCCAAUAUCCUGUUCAAGGACACCUAUGCCUAAAACCUGGCACAAAAUGAUUAAAAGCUGCAGUUCAGUAAAAACCCCACAAAUCCCUUAGCACUCAAUAGGUCCCUUCUCUUUAAGCUCAUGGAAAGAGCUUUCAGGGUUACGUAAAAAUGAAUGCCAUAUGGUUUGAAAGAUUCUUGUUUUGACAAAAUUGAAUUUGCUUUGUACAAAUAUUACAAUCAUUUACCAGCCAGUAGCCCUGUUAAAUACAAGAUGCCCGAAUUGUCAAAGUUUAAAUCUCUCUGGAGCUGUUAAAAGUGUACAGCAUGGAAUGCUUGUAUCCAAGGGUUAAGAAAAGACAUUAUCUGCCUAUCCCCCUCUAAAACAAACAACAUUUUGGUACAGGCUUGCCUCUGUAUGCUGCAAUAUUAGCCAAGUGUUCUGUGCCUGGGACACAGUAAUAUUCUCGUUCUUUGACCGACAGUAACCUCAAUAAGAGAGGAAGGAAGAGAGCUUGAGCAGAACUGAAACAGAACACAGUAAAAAAGCAAAUACCAAAAAUCCAGAAGACUAAGAAAUACCAGAAGGGAUGGCGUCUGCCCAUGUGCACGAAACCCCACAUUUUCCAAUACUGCUGACUGCUUCUAAAGGAUUUAUCCAGAGUGCCUCACUCUUCAUCAAGACUAAGAACUCAAUUCUGCACAGUCUUGCAGACCAAGACCUGGAACAUGGGCAUAAAGAACUGCCUCUUGCCUACCAACGUCAUCUUGCUGUACAUGAGCAUGCACGUUAGAGAGAAUGCGUUGGUCUCCAGUACAGGAGCUCUCUGUAAUAAAUGUGCGAUUAAAUAAA